UUUGGUUGUGUUUCGAAAUUGACUUGCAAGGUUAGAAACCACCACAAUCUAUUUGAGAUGAUUUUUUCAAAACUUUUCCUGUGGGGCAGUUUAUUUAGAUGUUUUUUGUGCAAUUUACAAGUUUGUGGUCGAUGAAAUCUAAAAACAUAAACAAAAUAACAAGAAAUUAUUUUCUUAUUAGUAAUCGUAUGUUAGUAUACGGUAUAGCCACACUUAUUUUGUAUGACUUUGGCGAUUCUAUACUUGUAUAGAAAUGCGUUUGCGGCAAGAUAAUUUGCCAGUUGCCUGGAUAUUUUAAGAGGACAACGACCCGAAACAUUGCUGCAGGAUAUUCAAGUCGUGGCUUAACCAAGAGGGAAUCAAUGUUUUGCAAUGGCCUCCGCAGAGUCCAUAUACCUGAACCAUAUAGACAACUUGUGGAAUUCUAAACCAAGUCGUUGCCCAAAAAAAAAAAACAGCAAUUAAAAGGAUUUGUGCCGAAUUUUACAGGAAGAAUGGAAGAAAAUCACCCCUCAUCCUGAAUCCUGUAGAUUCAAUACCAAAGCGUUGCUCCACUUUUCUUAAGCAGAAAGAUCAUCCUCUCUAUAUUAAAGUGGCUUAACUAUAUGAGCAGGACAUUUUGGACAUGGUUUCAGAUUUUUUAAUUAUUUCGCUAUUUGCAUAACUUGGUUAUUGUUGUAUUAAAACAUAAAUAUAGAACAUAUAGAACUAAUUUGAGACAAAAAAUGGAAGCUGUAAAAUAAAAACUUUUCUUGAUUUUCGCUUAAA